rnacentral:rRNA from 1 species
UUCCGGUUGAUCCUGCCGGUAGGCCAUUGCUAUCGGGGUCCGAUUUAGCCAUGCUAGUUGUGCGGGUUAGACCCGCAGCAAAUAGCUCCGUAACACGUGGCCAAACUACCCUACGGAGGAGAAUAACCUCGGGAAACUGAGGCUAACACUCCAUACGGUUCCGACGCUGGAAGGCCCGGAACCGGAAACGUUCCGACGCCGUAGGAUGUGGCUGCGGCCGAUUAGGUAGACGGUGGGGUAACGGCCCACCGUGCCGAUAAUCGGUACGGGUUGUGAGAGCAAGAGCCCGGAGACGGAAUCUGAGACAAGAUUCCGGGCCCUACGGGGCGCAGCAGGCGCGAAACCUUUACACUGCACGACAGUGCGAUAAGGGGACCCCGAGUGCGAGGGCAUACAGUCCUCGCUUUUCUGAACGGUAAGGACGUUCAGGAACAAGUGCUGGGCAAGACCGGUGCCAGCCGCCGCGGU